GGAGUCGUGGCGGAGCGGUUGAACGCACCCGCUUCGAAAGCGGGCGGCCCUCGAAAGGGGGUCCGUGGGUUCGAAUCCCACCGACUCCGCCA
rnacentral:tRNA from 2 species